GGAGAUGUACCUCAGUGGCAGAACACCUGCCUUGCAUGCAGAAGGUCCCAGGUUCAAUCCCUGGCAUCUCCA
rnacentral:tRNA from 1 species